rnacentral:rRNA from 1 species
AACGCGAAGAACCUUACCUGGAUUUGACAUCCUCGGACAACCCUAGAGAUAGGGCUUUCGUAGCAAUACGACCGGGAGACAGGUGCUGCAUGGCUGUCGUCAGCUCGUGUGGUGACAUGUUGGGUUAAGUCCCGCAACGAGCGCAACCCUUGUCUUUAGUUGCCAGCAUUAAGUUGGGCUCUCUAAAGAGACUGCCGUGGUUAACACGGAGGAAGGUGGGGAUGACGUCAAGUCCUCAUGGCCUUUAUAUCCAGGGCGACACACGUGAUACAAUGGACGGUACAGAGGGACGCCAAGAGGCAACUCGGAGCUAAUCUCAAAAAGCCGUUCUCAGUUCGGAUUGGAGUCUGCAACUCGACUCCAUGAAGUUGGAAUCGCUAGUAAUCGCGGAUCAGCACGCCGCGGUGAAUACGUUCCCGGGCCUUGUACACACCGGAGUA